rnacentral:rRNA from 1 species
UACGAAGGGGGCUAGCGUUGCUCGGAAUCACUGGGCGUAAAGCGCACGUAGGCGGACUCUUAAGUCGGUGGUGAAAUCCUGGAGCUCAACUCCAGAACUGCCUUCGAUACUGAGAGUCUCGAGUCCGGGAGAGGUGAGUGGAACUGCGAGUGUAGAGGUGAAAUUCGUAGAUAUUCGCAAGAACACCAGUGGCGAAGGCGGCUCACUGGCCCGGUACUGACGCUGAGGUGCGAAAGCGUGGGAGCAACAGG